UACAGAGGGGGCAAGCGUUAUUCGGAAUUAUUGGGCGUAAAGGGCGCGUAGGCGGCCACCGCAAGUCGACUGUGAAAUCUCCGGGCUUAACCCGGAAAGGUCAGCCGAUACUGCGGGGCUAGAGUGCAGAAGGGGCAACUGGAAUUCUCGGUGUAGCGGUGAAAUGCGUAGAUAUCGAGAGGAACACCUGCGGCGAAGGCGGGUUGCUGGGCUGACACUGACGCUGAGGCGCGAAAGCUAGGGGAGCGAACGGG
rnacentral:rRNA from 1 species